GACAGAGGGUGCGAACGUUGUUCGGAAUUACUGGGCGUAAAGCGCGUGUAGGCGGCAGCGCAAGUCGGGCGUGAAAUCCCACGGCUCAACCGUGGAAGUGCACUCGAAACUGCGCAGCUAGAGUCCUGGAGAGGAAGGUGGAAUGCUUGGUGUAGAGGUGAAAUUUCGUAGAUAUCAAAGCGGAACACCGGGUGGCGAAGGCGGCCCUCUGGACAGUGACUGACGCUGAGACGCG
rnacentral:rRNA from 1 species